rnacentral:rRNA from 1 species
GAUGAACGCUGGCGGCGUGCCUAAUACAUGCAAGUCGAGCGAACAGAUGAGGAGCUUGCUCCUCUGACGUUAGCGGCGGACGGGUGAGUAACACGUGGAUAACCUACCUAUAAGACUGGGAUAACUUCGGGAAACCGGAGCUAAUACCGGAUAAUAUAUUGAACCGCAUGGUUCAAUAGUGAAAGACGGUUUUGCUGUCACUUAUAGAUGGAUCCGCGCCGCAUUAGCUAGUUGGUAAGGUAACGGCUUACCAAGGCAACGAUGCGUAGCCGACCUGAGAGGGUGACCGGCCACACUGGAACUGAGACACGGUCCAGACUCCUACGGGAGGCAGCAGUAGGGAAUCUUCCGCAAUGGGCGAAAGCCUGACGGAGCAACGCCGCGUGAGUGAUGAAGGUCUUCGGAUCGUAAAACUCUGUUAUUAGGGAAGAACAAAUGUGUAAGUAACUAUGCACGUCUUGACGGUACCUAAUCAGAAAGCCACGGCUAACUACGUG